AAAGUGGAUGGUGGCCUGAAUUUGGUCUGUGGGCUGCAGUUUACCUGUCCUGUGUUAAAGGAACUGUCUGGGCAGAUGUGAGUUCAAGUCUUGUCAUUUGCUGACUGGGUGUUAAGCAAGUAAUUUAACUUCUAACAGCUCCAACAUUCUUCAGCUUAAUAAUGGGCAUAAUAACAGUAUUAAUGUUUGUCCCUUAUAAAGUUUAGGGUUUAAAUGAUAUAAGUAAAGCACUUAGCCCCAUGUCUAGCAUGUGUCUAUUACCCAUAUUUGGGUGAUUACAUCGUUUCGUGUUAAAAGAGGACUCCUGGAGAGGAAACUAGGUGAUAUUAGCCAUUGAUUAUGUAGGGACAAGGGAUAUGAACAGUGACCAUCCAAAGUCUGUCCCAGAAUGUGUAUCCACCCUAGCUAUUAUUAUUAGAAUCAUCUCUGUUAGCUGCUAAUGCCUCUAAUUUCCUGCAAAUGUUCUGUCCUCCUGCUUCCUAUGUCAGGACCUGGACUGGGCUUGCCUAAUGCUCUGAAAUUACCCUUUCUUCUUUUUUCUCUUUGAUCUCAGAAAAUGAUCUGAUCUGAUGAGUCGAAGACCAUGUUACUUGAUCUGGUUCAGCUUAGAUACUUCAUGUUAAAAUCUGAAAAGAAAAGUAACAGGACUGUAUGUGAAUUACCAAUGAUCUUUCAGAGGAACUCAUAUUUAAGGUAAGUAAUAGGAGGAAUGGAAGAGAGAAUGGGUAAUGAUGCAGAUUGAGAAGGUCUGGAAAAAAUGGAAAUAAGUGGUAAAGGAAUGCAGGGUGGGUGCUAACAUUUUACCUUGCUUGGGUCAUGGAGAUCCCAGGUCUGCAAAUAAUGAGACUUCAUGUAAAUAAUUAAAAGGACUUGAUGACUUUCUAAGUCUGUUAAGCCUUUGAUUGCAUGACUCUAAAGCUGCCAGCACAAUUUUACUUUGACUAGUUCUGAUUUCAAGAGAACAGGACUGUGUGCUUAGUUUAUAAAAUGAACAGUGUAAUUCAGAAAUUGAUUAAACCAGAGGGAGUUGCUUUGACUCACAAGCCCCAGAUUACAAGUUCAGAAUUGAUUUCUUACUCUUCCAA
rnacentral:lncRNA from 1 species